rnacentral:lncRNA from 1 species
AUUUAAUAAAGAAAAAUAGUAAAAUAAAGUUGUGGGGCCUCAUGAAAUGCACUGAGGAUUUCAGACUGCAGAGUUAGGCAGUGGAGCACCCUCACCCCACAGAGUCUUGAGAGGAUGUAGAACUUGGGUAGAGCCUGGUGUGUAGGCAUCGUGGGUCCAGCUGCUCUAGUUUCUGUGUCAGGGGGAAGAGGCAUUUGUUGAUGUAUCCCAGCAGAAAUGAAGGUACUUGGCUUUCUGACUUUUUCACAAAAAUGCAGGAAAUCCCAUUCUCCCUGUAUAUAUUGGAUGCAUUCAACUUCUUCCACCAUUCUGUGGCAGAAUCCUCUCCUGCACCGUGGAUACCACAAACACAAAAAUGUCCUCCUUGUUUGCAAGCAAUUGUGUUGGCACCUAGGGGGCAGAGUUCGGUUCACUCUUGGCUCAAAGAGAAUGUCUCCAGAGAUAGGCUUCCUGGCUCUGAGGUGCUGGCUUGGCCAUUUCUUCCACGACACAUAGCCAGUGAAGAAGCCUUUUCCCUGUACUUGUACAGAGGUGAUGCAACGAAUCCCAGGUGUGUGAAACUUAGAGGCAGUCAUAUCUUAUAAGCUCCUGAAGAUACUGUUGGCUUUGUUAGGCAGCACCACACAGGUUAUACUUUAUUCCAUGUGGUCUGCACCUCAAAAAACUCCUUCGGCUCCCACAGUGAAUCAAAUCAAGUUUCAGCACUAAACUAAGAAACCAAAGUUCUAACUAGUGAAAAACGACAUUUUUCCCUCCGGAACUUUAAAGUCAGUUAACAGCUUUCUUGAGUGCAUGUACAUGACGCUACUUAGUUCCCCAUUAGAAGAAAAAGAGGAAAAAGCUGAACAGUAAACAUUACCUGGCAUAUGUACAAUGUUCUGACCUAAACAGUAGGUGACUCCCGAGCUGUGGCUCUCUUUGUGUCACUGAAGUCUCUGUUUUAUGUUCUGUUGUUAGUUUUUACAAUAGAACUUCCAGAUAGACCAAUUUACAUCACUAAAAAGCUACAUCUUGGAUUUGUGUUGUUUCUGCAUGCUGAAGACAGUAUUGCUACAUCUUUCUUACUGCCUUUAAAUAAACUUAGUUGGUUCCAGGUGUUAAUUAAUAUG